UUUUAGCUGGGUAUAUAUCCUAUUCCCUCGGCGGUCGCGGCUACACACCCUCCUGCCAGGUGACCCACAUUAGAGCGCUGCAGCAAUUUUCCUAGGUGUCUGUUCAAAUCGCCAGUGCCAAGAUAAUGAUGACCUUCCGUGUUGUGUUGAUGGCCAUCGUGGUGGCAAUCACUCUCACCAGCGCGACUCACGCCCUGCCCAUGAUGUUCAGCCCGACAGUGUCUCGACCGAGCCCAUGCUCCAUCGUCUCCAACUUGCUGGACACUGAUGUGGCCAGUUUCCUCGACGGGGACAUCUAUCUCUCAGAGUCAUUCUGUGUUUGAGCUGAAGUUGAAACAGAACUCAUGAAAGUUAAUGAUUCAACUCGUACUAUGAAGGAACAUCUUGUUAUCACGCAGGGAGAGUCGCCUACGAAACAGACCAUGUCUUGCACCAUGUCGAUAGGCUAUGUUGACUGACUCACUGGAACUGUUACUAACUGGGAGAAAAAUCUGACUGAUUGUCUCCAGCGUAACUUUAUUCAGCAGUGGGUGGCGGAAUGAAGAUGCCAAAGCCGUGAGAAGUCGCUGCAUGCGAGUCUCAUGACAGGCAUCUGGAAGCAUUACGCGAACGCUGUAGAGCUGUCAAAAAUGUUGCCGCAGUUUGCCAGCUGACAGUGUUUGUAAAAUCAGCAGUGCAUGAAAUGAUGCAUACACUGGAUAUACAUAAUUACUCUGGUAUAUCCCGAUUAUAAAAAAUAAAGUACUAUAUAAUGUAGUUCCAAAGAA